UACGUAGGGGGCAAGCGUUGUCCGGAUUUACUGGGCGUAAAGAGCGUGUAGGCGGCCCGGUAAGUCCGCUGUGAAAGUCGGGGGCUCAACCCUCGAAUGCCGGUGGAUACUGUCGGGCUAGAGUGCGGAAGAGGCGAGUGGAAUUCCUGGUGUAGCGGUGAAAUGCGCAGAUAUCAGGAGGAACACCGAUUGCGAAGGCAGCUCGCUGGGACGUAACUGACGCUGAGACGCGAAAGCGUGGGGAGCAAACAGG
rnacentral:rRNA from 1 species